AAUAGUCCAUUUGGAGACGUGCCAAAUUGAGUAACCAGGGUAAGGUGCCUGGGUUGUCAUCUCACUUCGCGUAAAAAGGUUUGACUCUGUCUCAAAUUUGCUGUAUAAUUAAUUGAGAAUAAAUACCUUGUAAAUUUUGGUUCAAUUUCAAUUUAGUGAAAUGAUUGAAUUUAUAUGUUUGAAUUUUAUAGACACUUGUUGAUGAAACAGAGUAUUUGAACACUUAUACAUUUUUCACCUAAAUUGUUUGCAUUGAUCAUGGUUACCGAAUAGAGGCUUGAUUUUUGAUAAUUUAUUGGAUAGUUUCUAAUGUAGGAACAUACAAUAUGCUUGAAGACAAGCAUAGGCUAAGCUGGGGUAUUUGAUAGCAUGUUUUACAUGUUUAAAUAGAUUAAUUCUUAAAUUAAAUCCUGCUAAUUUGGUGAUUUUAUGUUUAAAUUCUGUCAGGAACGCAAUUCGGAUACUUUAAAUAAAAAAACAAGUAGAAAAUGACUAAAUUGGAGCACAAGCAAUAAAAGAGGGGUCGAAUAAAAAAUUUUGAGACAUUUAAGGGCUAAUCAAAUUUUUGACUUUGUAAAGCCAUAUUUAGAAAAAAAUCUGAUAUGAAUUUGAUUUCAUGUAAUUGAUUGUUAGGUGAGUUAGAUUAAUUUUAGUAUAUGAUAUGUAUAUAAAUAAGGUAUGUGGUGGCACUUGAAAAACACACCUGAAUACACUGGAAAUUGAAUGAAAUUAUUUUUAUUCCUUUCUAUUUCAUGCGUCAGUAGCAUUUUGCCAUUUUAUUUCCUUUUUCUUGUUUCUUUACAAAUUUAUUCAAUUGCUUCCUAAGUCUCUUCCCUUUCCACCUUCUACCAUUUCCACUAAAUCCAUUUACAUACACUAAUUAGUAUGAUUAAUCUCAUGUUUCACUAAACUUCUAUUUAGCUUUAGGUCGGUAUUCUUUUCGGUCAAAAAUCGUGAAAAAAUGAAUUCGCACUAAAAAUCUUUCAUAACGGUAUUCAUUAUCUUUUCAGAAUAUGGGAUAGUGCAAAUUCGUCCCUUAAAGUUAAUUCAAUUUCAACACAAAGUGCACGUUGGGUUGGAGUCGUUUUGGCGUACAGUCAGGAAGUCAAGUCGGCCGUGCUGUAUUCGAAUUUUCGCGAACAAUUUGGCGUAUCCAGGCGGGGUCAUACUAGUGAGAUUUUUGUCAUGGGAGAUAGUGAUUGGAUUUAAACGACCCACGCAGUUGAGGUCAUUGAUCCGAGUUGGGUGCAAGGCUGUCGGGGUUUUGAAUUGUGAACGUGUGUAUCGCGGUUAGACAAUCGGUAAUGGUUGGUUUGCA
rnacentral:lncRNA from 1 species